rnacentral:rRNA from 1 species
AUAGAUUUUAUUUAUUAAUUUUAUUUAUUUAUUUAAUUUAUUUAAUAAAAAUAAUUUUAAAAUUUUAAGUUUAAGUAUUUUAUAAAGAAAAAAUAAUUUUAAUUAUAGUUUAUUUGUAUUGUGAAAGAAAAUUGAAAUAAUUUGAAAAAUUUUUAUUUUAAAAGAAAAUUUAAUUUAUUGUACCUUGUGUAUCAGGGUUUAUUAAAUAAAAAAUUAUUAUAUUAAUUUUUCUCGAAUUUUAAAGAUUUAAUUAUAUAUAAAAGUUACUGUGGAAUAAUUAUUUUUAAUAUAUAAUUAGAAAUGAAAUGUUAAUCGUUUUAAAAUAUAUCUAGUUUUUUAAGAAAUAAAUUUAAUUUAGAUUUAUAAACUUAAAUUAUUUAAUUAUUUUAAAUAAUUUAUUUUAUAAAAUUAAUAUUUUAAGGGAUUAGCUUUAAAAUAAAUUUUUAAAUUUUAAAUUAAUUAUUUAAUAAAUAUAAGCUUAAAAAUAGCUAUUAUUAAUAAAUUUGUUAUAAUUUAUUUUAAAAAUUUAAUUAUUUAAUAUAAAAUUAAAUUAUUUAUUAAAAUAUAAAUUUUAAUAAUAAAAAUUUAUAAAUUAUGAUAAAAUUAGUAUAUAAAAUUUUUAUAAAUAAUUAUUUAUGAAAGGUUUAAAUAAGGAAUUCGGCAAAAUAUAUAUUCACCUGUUUAUCAAAAACAUGUCUUUUUGAAUUAAAUUUAAAGUCUAACCUGCCCACUGAUAUAAAUUAAAGGGCCGCAGUAUUUUGACUGUGCGAAGGUAGCAUAAUCACUAGUCUUUUAAUUGGAGGCUUGUAUGAAUGGUUGAAUGAGAUAUAUACUGUCUUUUUUAAAAUUAUAUAGAAUUUUAUUUUUUAGUUAAAAAGCUAAAAUAAAAUUAAAGGACGAGAAGACCCUAUAGAUCUUUAUUUUUGUUAUUUAUAAAUUAAAAAGAAUUUUAAAAUUUAUAAUUUAAUAAAAAAUUUUAUUGGGGUGAUAUUAAAAUUUAAAAAACUUUUAAGAUUUAUUAACAUUAAUAUAUGAAUAAAUGAUCCAGUUUUAUUGAUUAAAAAUUUAAGUUACCUUAGGGAUAACAGCGUAAUUUUUUUUUAGAGUUCAUAUCGACAAAAAAGAUUGCGACCUCGAUGUUGGAUUAAGAGUUAUUUUUAGGUGUAGAAGUUUAAAGUUUAGGUCUGUUCGACCUUUGAAUUCUUACAUGAUCUGAGUUCAAACCGGCGUAAGCCAGGUUGGUUUCUAUCCUUAAUUAAUUAUUAUAUUAUAGUACGAAAGGACCUAAUAUAAAAAAUAUAGAUUUUAAUAAUAUGAUUAAUAUUAAUAUUAGAUA